rnacentral:rRNA from 1 species
GACCUCGAAUCAGGUAGGAAUACCCGCUGAACUUAAGCAUAUCAAUAAGCCGGAGGAA